UUAAGCGACUAAGCGUACACGGUGGAUGCCCUGGCAGUCAGAGGCGAUGAAGGACGUGCUAAUCUGCGAUAAGCGUCGGUGAGGUGAUAUGAACCGUUAUAACCGGCGAUUUCCGAAUGGGGAAACCCAGUGUGUUUCGACACACUAUCAUUAACUGAAUCCAUAGGUUAAUGAGGCGAACCGGGGGAACUGAAACAUCUAAGUACCCCGAGGAAAAGAAAUCAACCGAGAUUCCCCCAGUAGCGGCGAGCGAACGGGGAGGAGCCCAGAGCCUGAAUCAGUGUGUGUGUUAGUGGAAGCGUCUGGAAAGGCGCGCGAUACAGGGUGACAGCCCCGUACACAAAAAUGCACAUACUGUGAGCUCGAUGAGUAGGGCGGGACACGUGGUAUCCUGUCUGAAUAUGGGGGGACCAUCCUCCAAGGCUAAAUACUCCUGACUGACCGAUAGUGAACCAGUACCGUGAGGGAAAAAGGCGAAAAGAACCCCGGCGAGGGGAGUGAAAAAGAACCUGAAACCGUGUACGUACAAGCAGUGGGAGCCUCUUAAUGGGGUGACUGCGUACCUUUUGUAUAAUGGGUCAGCGACUUAUAUUCUGUAGCAAGGUUAACCGAAUAGGGGAGCCGAAGGGAAACCGAGUCUUAACUGGGCGUUAAGUUGCAGGGUAUAGACCCGAAAACCCGGUGAUCAGCCAUGGGCAGGUUGAAGGUUGGGUAACACUAACUGGAGGACCGAACCGACUAAUGUUGAAAAAUUAGCGGAUGACUUGUGGCUGGGGGUGAAAGGCCAAUCAAACCGGGAUAGCUGGUUCUCCCCGAAAGCUAUUUAGGUAGCGCCUCGUGAAUUCAUCUCCGGGGGUAGAGCACUGUUUCGGCAAGGGGGUCAUCCCGACUUACCAACCCGAUGCAAACUGCGAAUACCGGAGAAUGUUAUCACGGGAGACACACGGCGGGUGCUAACGUCCGUCGUGAAGAGGGAAACAACCCAGACCGCCAGCUAAGGUCCCAAAGUCAUGGUUAAGUGGGAAACGAUGUGGGAAGGCCCAGACAGCCAGGAUGUUGGCUUAGAAGCAGCCAUCAUUUAAAGAAAGCGUAAUAGCUCACUGGUCGAGUCGGCCUGCGCGGAAGAUGUAACGGGGCUAAACCAUGCACCGAAGCUGCGGCAGCGACACUAUGUGUUGUUGGGUAGGGGAGCGUUCUGUAAGCCUGUGAAGGUGUACUGUGAGGUAUGCUGGAGGUAUCAGAAGUGCGAAUGCUGACAUAAGUAACGAUAAAGCGGGUGAAAAGCCCGCUCGCCGGAAGACCAAGGGUUCCUGUCCAACGUUAAUCGGGGCAGGGUGAGUCGACCCCUAAGGCGAGGCCGAAAGGCGUAGUCGAUGGGAAACAGGUUAAUAUUCCUGUACUUGGUGUUGUUACUGCGAAGGGGGACGGAGAAGGCUAUGUUGGCCGGGCGACGGUUGUCCCGGUUUAAGCGUGUAGGCUGGUUUUCCGGGCAAAUCCGGAAAAUCAAGGCUGAGGCGUGAUGACGAGGCACUACGGUGCUGAAGCGACAAAUGCCCUGCUUCCGGGGAAAAGCCUCUAAGCAUCAGGUAACAUCAAAUCGUACCCCAAACCGACACAGGUGGUCAGGUAGAGAAUACCAAGGCGCUUGAGAGAACUCGGGUGAAGGAACUAGGCAAAAUGGUGCCGUAACUUCGGGAGAAGGCACGCUGAUAUGUAGGUGAAGCGACUUGCUCGUGGAGCUGAAAUCAGUCGAAGAUACCAGCUGGCUGCAACUGUUUAUUAAAAACACAGCACUGUGCAAACACGAAAGUGGACGUAUACGGUGUGACGCCUGCCCGGUGCCGGAAGGUUAAUUGAUGGGGUUAGCGGUAACGCGAAGCUCUUGAUCGAAGCCCCGGUAAACGGCGGCCGUAACUAUAACGGUCCUAAGGUAGCGAAAUUCCUUGUCGGGUAAGUUCCGACCUGCACGAAUGGCGUAAUGAUGGCCAGGCUGUCUCCACCCGAGACUCAGUGAAAUUGAACUCGCUGUGAAGAUGCAGUGUACCCGCGGCAAGACGGAAAGACCCCGUGAACCUUUACUAUAGCUUGACACUGAACAUUGAGCCUUGAUGUGUAGGAUAGGUGGGAGGCUUUUGAAGUGUGGACGCCAGUCUGCAUGGAGCCGACCUUGAAAUACCACCCCUUUAAUGUUUGAUGUUCUAACGUGGGCCCCUUACCGGGGUUGCGGACAGUGUCUGGUGGGUAGUUUGACUGGGGCGGUCUCCUCCUAAAGAGUAACGGAGGAGCACGAAGGUUGGCUAAUCCGGUCGGACAUCAGGAGGUUAGUGCAAUGGCAUAAGCCAGCUUGACUGCGAGCGUGACGGCGCGAGCAGGUGCGAAAGCAGGUCAUAGUGAUCCGGUGGUUCUGAAUGGAAGGGCCAUCGCUCAACGGAUAAAAGGUACUCCGGGGAUAACAGGCUGAUACCGCCCAAGAGUUCAUAUCGACGGCGGUGUUUGGCACCUCGAUGUCGGCUCAUCACAUCCUGGGGCUGAAGUAGGUCCCAAGGGUAUGGCUGUUCGCCAUUUAAAGUGGUACGCGAGCUGGGUUUAGAACGUCGUGAGACAGUUCGGUCCCCUAUCUGCCGUGGGCGCUGGAGAACUGAGGGGGCUGCUCCUAGUACGAGAGGACCGGAGUGGACGCAUCACUGGUGUUCGGGUUGUCAUGCCAAUGGCACUGCCCGGUAGCUAAAUGCGGAAGAGAUAAGUGCUGAAAGCAUCUAAGCACGAAACUUGCCCCGAGAUGAGUUCUCCCUGACUCCUUGAGAGUCCUGAAGGAACGUUGAAGACGACGACGUUGAUAGGCCGGGUGUGUAAGCGCAGCGAUGCGUUGAGCUAACCGGUACUAAUGAACCGUGAGGCUUAACCU
rnacentral:rRNA from 1 species